UACAGAGGUCCCGAGCGUUAGGCGGAAUCACUGGGCUUAAAGCGUGUGUAGGCGGAUCGGUAAGUACCUUGUGAAAUCCCACAGCUCAACUGUGGAACUGCUUGGUAUACUGCCAGUCUUGAGCCAGCUAGGGGCUACCGGAACAAAUGGUGGAGCGGUGAAAUGCGUAGAUAUCAUUUGGAACGCCAAUGGUGAAAACAGGUAGCUGGGGCUGUGCUGACGCUGAGACACGAAAGCCAGGGGAGCAAACGGG
rnacentral:rRNA from 1 species